UUUCUUGGGCCGCUCCUGCGGCAUAUGGAGGUUCCCAGACUAGGGGUCGAAUCGGAGCUGUAGCCACCGGCCUACGCCAGAGCCACAGCAACGCGGGAUCCGAGCCACAUCUGCAACCUACACCACAGCUCAUGGCAACGCCGGAUCGUUAACCCACUGAGCAAGGGCAGGGACCGAACCCGCAACCUCAUGGUUCCUAGUCAGAUUCGUUAACCACUGCGCCACGACGGGAAUUCCAGGAAAAUCCUAAUUCUAAGGACUAGCUCUAGCCAGCCAAACAAAAAACAGAUCUGCAGAGGUGGGGACUUAUUAUGUCUCCAUUGGUCUUGGGAGAAAUAUGUGCAGAGACAUGAUUUCUAUCUCUUUGAGUACGUAUUUACGAUAUAAUUUCCAGAAAAGGAAUCCCAGUAUUUGGAAGAACUUCAUUUGGCAACAGAAGACCUAUUUCUGGUACAUAAUCAUGUGAGGUUUUUUUUUUUUUUUGCUUUUUAGGACCACACCCAUGGCAUAUGGAAGUUUCCCGGCUAGGGGUCAAAUCAGAGCUGUAGCUGCUGGCCUACACCACAGCCAUAGCAAUGCGGAAUCCAAGCUGCAUGUGUGACCUACACCACUGGAUCCUUAAUCCACUGAGUGAGGCCCGGGAUUGAACCUGAAUCCUCAUGGAUACUAGUUAGGUUUGUAAUCUGCUGAGCCACAAUGGGAACUCCCAGAUGAACUUUGUAUGAAAUUUUUUUUUAAUUGAAAAAACUGGCAUUUAAAGUUUUAAUCUCCAUGAAGAUACUAGUCAGGCCCAGCUCACGGCAACGCCGGAUCCUUAACCCACUGAGCAAGGGCAGGGAUCGAACGCGCAACCUCAUGGUUCCUAGUCGUAUUUGUUAACCACUGCGCCAUGAGGGGAACUCCUAAUUUAUUUAUUUUUUUUAGAUGAAAAUAAUUCUAUUUUACAGCAAGAUAAAACCACACUGCCAUAUUUCAUAUUUUAUUCAAUUUUAAUAUGGUUUCCAUUAUUAACUUUUAAAACAAAAUGAUUUCCAGUUUAAAAAACAAUGCACUGACCACAUAAUUCCUUUUUUAUUUUAUACAGUUAUACAAAUAUUCUAAAUACACAUUUUGUGUUCAAGAUGAUGGCAAAUAAGAUUAACUGUACAGUACGUAAGGAAAGAAAAUAUUUUAAGCAUAUUUAGAAGCAAUAGAAAUGUCUAUACAAAACAAGCAAAAAUGGAAUAAAAUUUUUUAUUUUUAAAGUAUUGCAACAGGCCCACAGGUUUGUAACAAAAAUGUCUUUGCACAGUUCCUCACAAUGCCCCAUUAAUAGCUAAAGCAAGACAGCGGUUUUAGAAAAUAAUGUUUCAAAAUGCUACACAUGGUACUAUUGUUUGCACAGUUUGAUCAAAAUAACAACUCUACUCUGAGUCAAGCAAAACCUAGAGGAUAUAUAUACCAAACAACUUGAAAAUCAUUUGUAUAAAAUUCAUUGCACAUUAUUUUUACUCAGUUGUUUGAAAAGUAAAAAAGUGUAUUUACAAAAUAUUUCGCAGUCAAAAUUAUAAAGUGAAUGAAUAUCUCUAACACGUCUUGAUAACAGACAUUUCAAGGAAAACACGAAUGGUUUUUUUAAAAGAGGUUUUCAGUGCUCCUUCCACAGGGAAGUAAAUAUGAUCUACUCAAAUGGAUUUACAAGAUGUUACACAUACUGGAGCAAAUUCUAGACACCUGCAUUAUAAAACAAUGUUAAAAAGGUGAAAGGAUGAGAAAUUUGUACAUUGUAAGAAAUGAGCUAUUCAGAGAUCAACAAGUACAAUU
rnacentral:lncRNA from 1 species